GUGCCUUCGGGAACNGUGAGACAGGUGCUGCAUGGCUGUCGUCAGCUCGUGUUGUGAAAUGUUGGGUUAAGUCCCGCAACGAGCGCAACCCUUAUCCUUUGUUGCCAGCGGUCCGGCCGGGAACUCAAAGGAGACUGCCAGUGAUAAACUGGAGGAAGGUGGGGAUGACGUCAAGUCAUCAUGGCCCUUACGACCAGGGCUACACACGUGCUACAAUGGCGCAUACAAAGAGAAGCGACCUCGCGAGAGCAAGCGGACCUCAUAAAGUGCGUCGUAGUCCGGAUUGGAGUCUGCAACUCGACUCCAUGAAGUCGGAAUCGCUAGUAAUCGUGGAUCAGAAUGCCACGGUGAAUACGUUCCCGGGCCUUGUACACACCGCCC
rnacentral:rRNA from 1 species